AUAAGCGGAGGAAAAGAAACUAACAAGGAUUCCCCUAGUAACGGCGAGUGAAGCGGGAAGAGCUCAAAUUUGAAAUCUGGUAGCCUUCGGUUGCCCGAGUUGUAAUCUAGAGAAGUGUUUUCCGUGCCGGCCCAUGUACAAGUCCCUUGGAACAGGGCGUCAUAGAGGGUGAGAAUCCCGUCCUUGACAUGGACCCCCGGUGCUUUGUGAUACACUUUCAACGAGUCGAGUUGUUUGGGAAUGCAGCUCAAAAUGGGUGGUGAAUUCCAUCUAAAGCUAAAUAUUGGCGAGAGACCGAUAGCGAACAAGUACCGUGAGGGAAAGAUGAAAAGCACUUUGGAAAGAGAGUUAAACAGUACGUGAAAUUGUUGAAAGGGAAACGAUUGAAGUCAGUCAUGCUCUUAGGAUUCAGCCGUUCUGCGGUGUAUUUCCUUUGAGUGGGGUCAACAUCAGUUUUGAUCGAUGGAUAAAGGCACGAGGAAGGUAGCACUCUCGGGUGAACUUAUAGCCUCGCGUCAUAUACAUUGAUUGGGACUGAGGAACGCAGCAUGCCUUUAUGGCCGGGAUUCGUCCACGUACAUGCUUAGGAUGUGACAUAA
rnacentral:rRNA from 1 species